GGAACCAGGGUCAGGAGUGGGAACAAAUUCUUGAGUCUCCAUCUGUUCCUGGGAAAAAUCAAAGGUCUGUGAUGCCAGAUGAGGAGAGGCAAAGGAAUGAAGGAGAAACAGUCAGAGUUGCAGAAAAUGAAAUGGAAAGGGGAACUACAGGGUUGGAGGAAGGAAAUGUGAGAAGGACACAAAGAGUGGGAAAACCAAGAGAAAUGUUCACAUAUGACACUCUGGGUGUUCCAUCUUACCAACCCUGGAGAUCAGAGGUACACUCACUACAACUCACCCAACCAUAUAUAUCUCCAAAUGGGACACAUUACUUUCAGUAUAUGGCCACCAACCCUUGUUGUCAUUGUUGUCAUAAGGUGUACUGAGGUAGUGAUUCAAAGAAGAGAAUGAAAGCAAAUAACACAUUUUCAGAGGUUAUUCAGAUGUCAGUAGUCAUCAAAAAAAAAGAAGGGGAGAGUGUAGUAGGUUGAAAAAAAAAUAUAUGUAUAGAUGUUAAAAUUAAAGAGGAAAAAAAGGACACCCCCUUUAAAAUUUUGUGUUGUUCAUAAAUGAUGCCUUCAACAUUUGUUUAUUGAUGGGUAAAUUCAUUGUUACAUUCUUUGUUGUGGGUAAAGAAAAUGUUGCUGUUAUUAUUGUUUCCUGUAGAGGGCGUUUAGCGCUGUUUAACUAAGGUACUGCACCGGGCGUUCAGAGUUAAUUAAACUUUGCCGGAGCUUACAGCCAGUACUCCUGUCUCACAGCGUUUUAUUUAUCAUUCUACAGGUGAGCAAAAACGAUUCUAAAACUGGUCGAAAUUGGUGUUAAAAGCUGUGUUUCAAACAUGUAUAGGUUGAUUUUUGUUAAGUUACUGAGAAAGACUGUUAGUUUUGUUCAUAUGCAUGCCGUAGUAAUGAGUCGAAUAUCAGCUCACACACGAGUGACAAAUAUGUGAAUUUAAAGCGAAAUGAGAGGAAAUACUCAUUUGGGAAGAGUUUAGGAAUGUUUCUAAAGUGUUUUAUAGGUUGAUUGUAAGUGGAUGAUAAAGUUUAAGUAAGUUAAAUGUACAUUUGCUACUGGAGUUAUCUCGAGCCAAAAUGGCAGUGCAUGUAUUUGUGAACUAGAGCCAAAAUGGCGUCUUGCAUGUAAAACAUGAGGUUACUGCGAAGCUAAAUGCAAGAAUUAUUUAUGUGACAGUGUGAAAAUGGAAUAAGUGUUCAUGAGGAUGUGAAAACAGUAGCAGGUCAAUGUAUUGUGACUGAUUAUAAUGUGUUACAAAUAAAAAAUAAUUGUUCUGAAAAGUUAAACCUGUGAAUGUUGUGAAUACAUUGUGAACUAAGAAAAAUGACAGAGUUAAUUAAACUUUGCCGGAGCUUACAGCCAGUACUCCUGUCUCACAGCGUUUUAUUUAUCAUUCUACAGAGCCGGCAGAAGCGGUUAAUUCACCUCACCCAUUCAGGCUUCCCAGCCCUGAUGCGGGUAACAUUUACAUGUUUACCUCUGCAUGCUCAACCUUCUGUUUAUAAUUUCAGCUUCUUUUUGAAGAUCAACAAUCAUUAGGGUAAUUUGUUAAUGUAUUUUAUUUGUGAGACCCAAACUUUCUAUUAUUUCCUUCAUUAACAAUAGAUUUGGAAAAAGAAAUCUUGUAUUAGUUCAUCAGUGUUUCCUACACAGGUGUUAUUGAGGAAUUCACAAAUAAAUUGUGCCUUAAUUAAGCAGAAGGAGUUUAGCAGGUGAUGAACCUGAGACUAAUCUUUAAAGUAGCCUGGAUCAGUAAUGUGUCCUAGAACUUUAUGGAACACUGUAACUUUGAUUAAUUUUAUUUAACUGGAGCGUCGUCAUUUGAUAGAAUUAACAUUCAAACUUAGAACUUAUCUGAAGUAAUCGAUCCAUCUGCUGGCAUGGAGGGGAAAAGAAAAGGAGAAUCUGGAGGACAUGGGAAAAACUACAAUAUAAAAUAUAAAAUAAAUACGAAAGGAAUUCAAAAGCAGUUAAAACAUGCAAUAGUUUACUGAUUUUAUUAUAUCUUUUAGUGUAGAGCAGAGAUGCCCAAACUAGGGUCUGCAGGCCAAAGUUGUCCCCUGUUGACCUUUGAUUUGGCCCAUCAUGUCAUAUAUGAUAACAGGAUAAAAAAGAGGAAGCAGGAUUCCAUUGCCACAUAGAUUCAUAACUAAGUUACCAUAACGUUUUUGUUUUACUUUUUAAGCUGCAAAAAAAUUGCAGUACCUUCUUCUGUGAGCAAACUUUCAGUCCAAACUUUUGAAUAUAAGGACCAGCUUCAUGUCUCUCAUUAGAGGACACUGAUAUUGCAGGCAUAUGGCUUUAUUGUUUAUAGCUUGAAUCGUUGUUUUAAACUCUAUAAUACUGUUAAUGGAAUUAUUUCUAUGUUUGCAUUGUGCUAUGAUUCAUUGAACUAGAAAGUGCAGAAAAUAAAUCUACAUUAGCUGAGCUGCUUUCUAUUUAUUUAUUAUUUAAUAUCUAAAUAUAAUGAAUUGAUAAAUAAAGGGGAAUCAUGGCGAAUUUUCAUUUUAAUAAUCAUUUUGGUCCACAGCCCUCAAUCAAGUUUGAUUUUUCAGCACUUCAUAAGAAAAAGAUGAGGUGUAGUCACAUCAGUUCUGACAUCAGGAAGGAGCUUCAUGAACUCUAAUCAUGUUAACUGGUUAGAGCACAGAAUAUCUUCAUUCAGCUAAAACCAUUCAUCAUGUUCACUGUAAUAUUCAUGUACCUGUGGCUUUCUGUAGGUGACUCCAUGGCAGAUUCAAUAGAGCCACUUUUUACUCAUAAAGCUGUAGAUGAAGGUGAAAGUGUUACUCUGUCCUGCAGAUACAAAACAAGUGAUACAACCCCCUACCUGCACUGGUACAGACAACAACCGAAAUCUA